GUAGGUGGCAAGCGUUGUCCGGGAAUUAUUGGGGCGUAAAGCGCGCGCAGGCGGUUCUUUAAGUCUGAUGUGAAAGCCCACGGGCUCAACCGUGGAGGGUCAUUGGAAACUGGAGAACUUGAGUACAGAAGAGGAAAGCGGAAUUCCACGUGUAGCGGUGAAAUGCGUAGAGAUGUGGAGGAACACCAGUGGCGAAGGCGGCUUCCUGGUCUGUAACUGACGCUGAGGCGCGAAAGCGUGGGGAGCAAACAGGAUUAGAUACCCUGGUAGUCCACGCCGUAAACGAUGAGUGCUAAGUGUUAGGGGGGUUUCCGCCCCUUAGUGCUGCAGCUAACGCAUUAAGCACUCCGCCUGGGGAGUACGGCCGCAAAGGCUGA
rnacentral:rRNA from 1 species